CCUACGGGGGGCAGCAGUAGGGAAUAUUGCUCAAUGGGGGAAACCCUGAAGCAGCAACGCCGCGUGGAGGAUGAAGGUUUUCGGAUUGUAAAGUCCUAUUGUUAGAGAAGAGAAUGACGGUAUCUAACGAAUAAGCACCGGCUAACGCCGUGCCAGCAGCCGCGGUAACACGGAGGGUGCAAGCGUUACUCGGAAUCACUGGGCGUAAAGAGCGCGUAGGCGGGAUAGCAAGUCAGAUGUGAAAUCCUAUGGCUUAACCAUAGAACUGCAUUUGAAACUGUUAUUCUAGAGUAUGGGAGGGGUAGGUGGAAUUCUUGGUGUAGCGGUCCCAUCCGUAGAUAUCACGAGGAAUACUCAUUGCGAAGGCGACCUGCUAGAACAUAACUGACGCUGAUGCUCGAAAGCGUGGGGAGCAAACAGGAUUAGCUACCCCAGUAGUC
rnacentral:rRNA from 1 species